rnacentral:rRNA from 1 species
UACGUAGGGGGGCUAGCGUUGUCCGGAAUCAUUGGGCGUAAAGAGCGUGUAGGCGGCCAGAAAAGUCCGCUGUGAAAACUCGAGGCUCAACUUCGAGCUGUCGGUGGAAACUUUCUGGCUAGAGUCCGGAAGAGGAGAGUGGAAUUCCUGGUGUAGCGGUGAAAUGCGCAGAUAUCAGGAAGAACACCCGUGGCGAAGGCGGCUCUCUGGUACGUGACUGACGCUGAGACGCGAAAGCGUGGGGAGCGAACAGG